AGGACGAACGCUGGCGGCGUGCUUAACACAUGCAAGUCGAGCGGAAAGGCCCUUCGGGGUACUCGAGCGGCGAACGGGUGAGUAACACGUGAGCAACCUGCCCUUAGCUUCGGGAUAGCUCCGGGAAACCGGAAUUAAUACCGAAUAUGACCAUGGCCGACAUCAGCCAUGGUGGAAAGUUUUUCGGCUAGGGAUGGACUCGCGGCCUAUCAGCUAGUUGGUGAGGUAACGGCCCACCAAGGCGACGACGGGUAGCCGGCCUGAGAGGGCGACCGGCCACACUGGGACUGAGACACGGCCCAGACUCCUACGGGAGGCAGCAGUGGGGAAUAUUGCGCAAUGGGCGAAAGCCUGACGCAGCGACGCCGCGUGGGGGAUGAAUGCCUUCGGGUUGUAAACCCCUUUCAGCAGGGACGAAGCGAGAGUGACGGUACCUGCAGAAGAAGCGCCGGCUAACUACGCGCCAGCAGCCGC
rnacentral:rRNA from 1 species